GGGGCGCGGUUCGCGGGGACGGGAGGCGACCCUCUCUCGAAACCUCGCGACGUCACGUCGCCGGCGCUGGUCUUCCUUCGUGCGGAAGCCUCGCGAAAGCGAGGCGCGGACCGGGCCGAAUAUCCGAGGGUGGCGCGGGGAUAGACUACCCGAAAGGGGAAAACAACCCUGGCCCCGGAGGCGGCGAACAGGUGAAAAGGCAACCGUGGUCCGGAA
rfam:Methylosinus sp. 3S-1 3S1contig25, whole genome shotgun sequence.